rnacentral:rRNA from 1 species
UACGGGGGGGGCAAGCGUUGUUCGGAAUUACUGGGCGUAAAGGGCUCGUAGGCGGCCAACUAAGUCAGACGUGAAAUCCCUCGGCUUAACCGGGGAACUGCGUCUGAUACUGGAUGGCUUGAGUUUGGGAGAGGUGAGUGGAACUGCGAGUGUAGAGGUGAAAUUCGUAGAUAUUCGCAAGAACACCAGUGGCGAAGGCGGCUCACUGGCCCGGUACUGACGCUGAGGUGCGAAAGCGUGGGGAGCAAACAGG